rnacentral:ncRNA from 1 species
UAAACAUUUGAUUCUGGUUUAAUUAUUUAACUUUAGGUUGAUAUCUAUAUGUGAGUUUUUGCGUGUGUGUAUCUUUAUUUUGAGGAUCUUCACCUAAAUGGUAAAGUUAAGGGUUCUUGAUUAAUUUAUAAAUAGUUAAUUUAUGAUUCGCAGUUUUUUAUUUUAGGGUUUAAUUUAAUGUAGUUCUUCUGUGACCUAUUUAUAUCUAAAAUAACUAGCUAAAAUUGUGCCAGCAGCUGCGGUUAUACAUUUAGUUAUAGUUAAUUUUGUCGAGUUAAUCAUUUUUGUGUAUAUUAGUUGUAAUUUGUUUUUGGCAAUAAUUUAUUUAUGGAAUUUGGGUGGAAUUUAUUUUUAUUUAUUUAUUGUUAGUUGUUUAUUAAGAUUUUAUGCGAAAUUCCUUUUUUAGACUAGGAUUAGAUACCCUAUUAUUAGGAGUGUGAAGAUUUUGUUGCUUAUAUUAUUGUUAGUUUUGGUCUUUAAAAUAAAAGGAUUUGACGGUAAUUAUAUCUUUUCAGAGGAACCUGUCCUGUAAUUGAUAAUCCACGUUAAAUUUUACCUUGAUUAAUUAUAUAUUGGUUUGUAUAUCUCUGUUUUAAUGAAUGUUUUAUUAGGAAUAUAUUAUUUUCAUAAAUUUUUAUUUAAAUGUAAAUCAGGUCAAGGUGCAGCUGUAUUAAGGUUGGAGAUGGGUUACAAUAAUUUUUCAUUCUGGAUUAAUUUAUAUUUAUUUAUAUUAUGAAAUAGGAUUUGAUUGUAAUGUUUAUUAUAUUUUAAUUGUGAUAAUUGCUCUUUAUUAAGUACACAUCGCCCGUCACUCUCAUUAUUAAGAUGAGAUAAGUCGUAACAAAGUAGGCCUAUCGGAAGGUGGGCCUGGAAUUAUU